ACAACAAAAGAAGAAGAAGAAAAAGAAAAAGAGGAAUUGACUAUAUGAAUACUUUAUGAAUAUUCAUGAUUCUGUGUAAUUGUGUAAUUUCCGUUUCCUUUUAUUCCCUUUCUCCCUGCGGCCAAGUGGUGGUCAUCCUGACUCUUUUCAACCAAAGCACUUUUCUGGGGACACCAGCACAAGAGGACAAACUGCAGACUUACAAAACUACACAUUAAAAAUGGAAACCAGCUGCAUUUUUAAUGAACCUUUUUUCUUUUUUUUUUUUUUUAACAAGCACUUUAUGAGAACUCAACCUAAUCGCUUGUGAAGGUAGUAGCAAGGUCAUAUUUUAUAUUUUUAUUGAAUUGAUUAAUUGUAUUACUUUUUUUCCUUUUCAUUUUAUUUAGUUAUUGUGUAUAGAGCCGCAUCAGUUUAAUUUCGGUUAGGUGGGACAUUGACUAAAAACAAGCAAGAAAGCAAAGCUAAAUGAAUAAAGAUGGUAUUGAUACUCUCACCUCCCCUUGGAUUAAUGCAGAGGGGAGUAAUUAGGAUUCAGAACACUUAUUGGUGGUCUCAUACACAAUCACACAUACACACACACUCACACAUAUAUAUGUAGAAUGCAGAAUGAAACUGUGGCACAGUUUGCCUGUGUGUGUGUGUGUAUAUGUGUGUUUUCAGUGUUCAAGUUUGAGGUCAGGAGGACCCUGAAGCUGACCAUCUAAAAGUGAAUUUAGGAGAGACAGCUGGUCAGCAUGCCUGUGCUAACCUUUGACCUCUGACCCCUGGUCUAGUAUGUGUAUGUGACUGGACGAGUGUAUCUCAUGUGAAGGAUUUGCUACGUGUUAACAUUUAGCACAAACCGAUCUAAUCUGCCUUUCGCCUACUCUGCUCUACCGCCUCGCCCUAAGCCAUGUGGAAGGUGUUUCCCUUUAGAAACAGGCCAGAGAUGUGCAACCGUGCUCCUGGGGUCGAUUGCCCAAGCCCUCACAGUUGUGAAACCUCAGUGAUUAUCUGAAGCAAUCUGGAUGCAUUUGGAUACAGAGACACUGACUUCCUGUGAGAGGCUGCCCUAAGGGUCUGUUGUGCUAAAAACAACAAGUCACUUUCUCCUUUUACUUUUAUGGAACCCACAGAAUACUGACAGUGUUAGUCAUAUUAUUGAGCAGAAAGAUCAUGUCAAAACAAUCUACAACCAAACAGCAACAGUUGUUUAAUCUGGCUUCUGAUUUCAGGCAUAAAGGUCAGUGGUGGAAAACUGUAGCGGUAACUGUGCUAGCGGUCAUACAUUUCUGAAAUAUCAUUCAAAUAUCACCCUUUUCAAAAUUCAGUAUGAGAUAGUGAGCUCUCUUUUUCAGAGCUUCAGGGUCACCACGGAGCACCGUUGCAAUUUCUGUGCAAACCUGUUUUGUCUGGUUAUUUAUUACAGCUUUGUUUUAUAUCACACUUAUUACUGCAUUUGGGCUUUGAACUGGGUCUUUCUCCCAAGUUCUGAUGACAUUAAGCAAAGCAACAAGUAUACAUAUACAUUUUUAUGUGUUAGUGAGUCGUGGCGUAUGUAGUAUGACCUAUCUCAGAACGUGACACAGCCUAGACUGAAUCAACUGCCCAAGUUUCUCAAACAACAAGACUUCACCUUAUUCACGACCCCCCCCAGGAAAAGGGCCUUUUUUGGGCCUGUUGUCUUUCAACACUGGCAGCCGUGUGAGCUAUGCGUCCCCCUGGAGAACUUAUUUUAGAGAGAAGACUGAUUGUAGGCGGCAGGCCCUGUAACAUUCCAGCCGAGCUCAGCAUAUCAUCCGACGCGUUCAGCUCUCCUGGGGCUCUUUGUGUGGCCCCGGCACAAAGGCCCCCGCUGGCCCAGUUCUCAAUGGAGCCGCAGCGCUGCCCUCGUGUCCCUGACGUAGGCCCCUCUGUGUGGAUCAGUGCCGAGCCUGUGGAGGCUAUGGUCAGCAGGUGAGGCAGCGUUUUAAUUCUCCCCAGAGAAUAGCAGCCUUUCUGAGCUCUUAUUCUGGCGCUUUCCCCUCUCUGCUGGGGUUUUGUUUAUCUCCACACCCACCCCUCUACGAACAGGGUCCUUUGUGUCGGCCUCUUUUUACGCUGGCCUCAUUUCCCACCGCCACCAGUGUGGAUGAAAGUGCACAUUUUUGGUACGAAGUGUUAAGGUGCUCUUGACUGGCAUCAAAUGACCCUAGAUUCACCUCUGCCCAUAAUGGGCUGCCAUUUGCCUCUGAGUAAACAAAAAUGGGAUAAGAAGGAUACACGAUUCCCCUUUUUAUGACACUACAUAACACUAGUAAUAAGGCCAUUGGAAGUGUGAUCAGUCCUAAUAUGUGGGUUUGUUUUUGUGUCUUCUGAUGUAGGUGCCUUCCUCUAGGCAGGCAUUCUUACUGCCAAACACUGCAUCUGGGUGAGAUAGCCUGAGCUUAAGAAGAGAUCUCUCUAGUGAGUCCGUAUUUACUACAGUCAGGUUGAAGACUAGCAGAAAACCCCUAGGAAAACCAAAGUGUAAUCAUACAAUCUCCAUUUUGGAUUUGAACAGUGUGGGUUCAGGAUCUGGGGCAGCUUUCUCAUUCGUUCACGUGAUUUGUACAUGACUACAAAAUAAUGUCUUGUGUUUUAGGGAAUGGUGCAGAUUGUGUAUUGGAGCUUUGUGCAUUACUGAUGUAUGUGAUGGUGUCAUUCAUGUUUUGUCCAUGUUUGUGAGGCAACACACACUACUGUGGUGGAAAAGACUAAACCUUAGAAGACACGUGAUUGGAUUUUUUGGUACAUUUUCACUUCAGCUAUGUUUUGCUGUAACAUACUGCAUUGUUGGAAAUCCUGUUUGUCCAUUUUGGUCCCCCUGUCAAAUCUGGAAAAUCCCCUGAAACUUUUGAAACAGGCUUCUGGAAAUUUUUUAGAAACCCAGCAAAGCUCAAAUCACAACUAAAUCAUGUUGUAGUGCAAUUGAAUUGAAAGUCUUAUUUCUUUUGAAACUGUUGUUCUGUGAUUGAAUGUAUGUUUUAGUAAGGUACAACAGGACUGUGAAGAACAGAAUAAUGUGAAAGGCAUGUGAUUGUGCCACUGGUCUGACUGUAAAUCACAUGGAGGUGCGACAGUAGUGACAGUAGUAGUGUUUCCCCCCUCUCACUUCCUGUUGGUCUAGCCAUAAGAAACAGAAAAGGCAAAGAUUAUAUCCAAAAUGUUCUGAAACAGAAGCUAGGUAGACAGUUUGAGCUGGUAAUCUUGUCCAAUCCCAUUGGCUGUCCUUUAAUUGGUCAUAGUUCCACAAGGCCCAUAUGAUUAGCUUUUACAUAAAUAAAUACUGCAGCUCCCUUAGAUAUCAAUGUGUACCAUGACAAAUACAAUUACCUCAUAAGUGUGUGGUAAGAGGAGCUGCUUGCCAAUCCGUCUGCUAGUGUAGAUAUGAUGGCAGAGUUAGAAUUCACGUUGUAUGUCCAUAAAAGGUACAUUAUAUACCCAUGUUGAACAUAUUGGAAUUGCCUGCUGCAGUCCUAUAUAUUGGAAAGGGAUGCUUCAUAACUGUGAUAUAGAGGCCAAACUAGAUUUGAUAGCAGUUUGAGAGUUUUGUGGUCAAGGACUUUAGUGCUUCGUAGAUAAUGGCACUCCCAUCCGGCCUAUGUCAUCUAAUCCAGCUGAAAACCCAGACUGGACGCUGUGUCUGCCUUAGUUCUUAACUGUCUUGCUCCAUAUCACUCCAAUCAUUUCUUAACACAACGGGUGCUGUUGGACCAGUUGAAUGGUGCAUGAAUGACAGCUGUAAUGUACUCGGUGCCGAAUGACUACAUGGACAGGAUGUUAGAACUGAAUAACUGCCGAUUUCCAGAUCUUCAGUUUUGGGCCUUAAACGUUUUGACUUCACCAGCCCUCUUCCUGUCACCCUCCCCCACUCUCCACCCCCACCCCCACCACACACACACACACACACACACACACAAACUCUAUCUCUGUACUGCUCCUGUUUACAUAGUGUGUUGUAUAUUUAUUCAGUGUCAAGCUUCACCCCCACUUUGGACUAGUUCUGUGCCCCCUCCCUUCACAGCCCCUUAGCCUGACCCUGACCCACCCCUUACAGUCAGUCCCCAGCCCGUACAUCCCGCUUGUGUUAACACUGAUUAUGUUUGUGAACCUCACAGACAUGUUUGUAAAACUAAGAAUUCUGCAGCAGAAUAUUUUUGGAGACAUUUGCUGUACAGUAUUUGUAAGCUCUAUUUUUGUAUAUUUAAUUGCUAUUUUGGAGGGAAAUUAAAAAUGAGAUGCAUUACUUUUUUUUUGCUAAUUUCAUGUUCUUUUCAUUUGAAAAAAAAUGUUGCAUGUGAUUGACUUGAACUGUAAAUAAAAUUACCAAAUUUGUUUUGGA
ensembl:lncRNA